rnacentral:rRNA from 1 species
AGUGAACGCUGGCGGUAGGCCUAACACAUGCAAGUCGAACGGCAGCACAGUAAGAGCUUGCUCUUACGGGUUGCGAGUGGCGGACGGGUGAGGAAUACAUCGGAAUCUACUUUUUCGUGGGGGAUAACGUAGGGAAACUUACGCUAAUACCGCAUACGACCUACGGUUGAAAGCAGGGGAUCUUCGGACCUUGCGCGAUUGAAUGAGCCGCUGUCGGAUUAGCUAGUUGGCGGGGUAAAGGCCCACCAAGGCGACGAUCCGUAGCUUGUCUGAGAGGAUGAUCAGCCACACUGGAACUGAGACACGGUCCAGACUCCUACGGGAGGCAGCAGUGGGGAAUAUUGGACAAUGGGCGCAAGCCUGAUCCAGCCAUACCGCGUGGGUGAAGAAGGCCUUCGGGUUGUAAAGCCCUUUUGUUGGGAAAGAAAAGCAGCAGGUUAAUACCCCGCUGUUCUGACGGUACCCAAAGAAUAAGCACCGGCUAACUUCGUG